UCCUGAACACCUACCUACGUCAGACAUAACCCCACCGUGUUCUCGAUCGGAGAAAGAACUCACGAAAGAGACAGUCACGGUUACGCACACAGUGGGCAUAUUUUAAUUUAGUUAACUUCAAGUUAUCUAGAACCAGUGUUAAACAAAGCUUCCACGUUGCCACAUAACCGCGGGCACGACUUUCCGAAAGAUUUAACCCUGCAGGGGUGCUCCAACUAGUCCGUCACAAACUACCACAAGCCGCAUAGAAAUCCUCAAU
rnacentral:lncRNA from 1 species